GCAGACAUAGUUUAGCUAAAAUAUUAGAUUGUGAUUCUGAAGACAGAGGUUAAAAUCCUCUUGUCCGCC
rnacentral:tRNA from 1 species